GAUGAACGCUAGCGACAGGCUUAACACAUGCAAGUCGAGGGGCAGCAGGGGAGUAGCAAUACUCCCGCUGGCGACCGGCGCACGGGUGAGUAACACGUAUGCAACCUGCCCUUGUCAGGGGGAUAAGCGGAAGAAAUUCCGUCUAAUACCGCAUAACGCUGCGGGGAGACAUCUCCCUGCAGCCAAAGAUUUAUCGGACAAGGAUGGGCAUGCGGCGCAUUAGCUUGUUGGCGGGGUAACGGCCCACCAAGGCGACGAUGCGUAGGGGUUCUGAGAGGAAGGUCCCCCACACUGGUACUGAGACACGGACCAGACUCCUACGGGAGGCAGCAGUGAGGAAUAUUGGUCAAUGGCCGGGAGGCUGAACCAGCCAAGUCGCGUGAGGGAAGACGGUCCUAUGGAUUGUAAACCUCUUUUGUCAGGGAGCAAAAACUGCCACGCGUGGCAGGAUGAGAGUACCUGAAGAAAAAGCAUCGGCUAACUCCGUGCCAGCAGCCGCGGUAAUACGGAGGAUGCGAGCGUUAUCCGGAUUUAUUGGGUUUAAAGGGUGCGUAGGCGGACAGUUAAGUCAGCGGUAAAAUUGAGAGGCUCAACCUCUUCCCGCCGUUGAAACUGAUUGUCUUGAGUGGGCGAGAAGUAUGCGGAAUGCGUGGUGUAGCGGUGAAAUGCAUAGAUAUCACGCAGAACUCCGAUUGCGAAGGCAGCAUACCGGCGCCCAACUGACGCUGAAGCACGAAAGCGUGGGUAUCGAACAGGAUUAGAUACCCUGGUAGUCCACGCAGUAAACGAUGAAUACUAAUUGUUCGGGUCGAGUGAGAUCUGAGUGAUACAGCGAAAGCGUUAAGUAUUCCACCUGGGGAGUACGCCGGCAACGGUGAAACUCAAAGGAAUUGACGGGGGCCCGCACAAGCGGAGGAACAUGUGGUUUAAUUCGAUGAUACGCGAGGAACCUUACCCGGGCUCAAACGACACAGGAAUGAUCUGAGAAAUCAGGCAGUCCUUCGGGACCUGUGUCGAGGUGCUGCAUGGUUGUCGUCAGCUCGUGCCGUGAGGUGUCGGCUUAAGUGCCAUAACGAGCGCAACCCCCAUCGACAGUUGCCAGCAGGUCAAGCUGGGCACUCUGUCGAGACUGCCGGCGCAAGCUGUGAGGAAGGCGGGGAUGACGUCAAAUCAGCACGGCCCUUACGUCCGGGGCGACACACGUGUUACAAUGGCAGGUACAGCGGGAAGCCACCUGGCGACAGGGAGCGGAACCCGAAAGCCUGUCUCAGUUCGGAUUGGAGUCUGCAACUCGACUCCAUGAAGCUGGAUUCGCUAGUAAUCGCGCAUCAGCCACGGCGCGGUGAAUACGUUCCCGGGCCU
rnacentral:rRNA from 1 species